rnacentral:rRNA from 1 species
UCGGGAAUUUUGGGCAAUGGGCGAAAGCCUGACCCAGCAACGCCGCGUGAAGGAUGAAGUAUUUCGGUAUGUAAACUUCGAAAGAAUAGGAAGAAUAAAUGACGGUACUAUUUAUAAGGUCCGGCUAACUACGUGCCAGCAGCCGCGGUAAUACGUAGGGACCAAGCGUUGUUCGGAUUUACUGGGCGUAAAGGGCGCGUAGGCGGCAAUUCAAGUCAUCUGUGAAAUCUCCGGGCUUAACUCGGAACGGUCAGAUGAUACUGCUUUGCUAGAGUGCAGAAGGGGCAAUCGGAAUUCUUGGUGUAACGGUGAAAUGCGUAGAUAUCAAGAGGAACACCUGAGGUGAAGACGGGUUGCUGGGCUGACACUGACGCUGAGGCGCGAAAGCCAGGGGAGCAAACGGGAUUAGAUACCCCAGUAGUCCCUGAGCGGGCUGGCAAGGCGCAU